rnacentral:lncRNA from 1 species
AUUAUUCCUCGUUAUCGUCACGUUCCGGCUACAAUAUUCCCCUUCCGGGACCGCAAAUCCCUUUCGUCCCCGUUAUUCUCCUUCCAGGACCCCAUUAUACUCCUUCCAAGGCCCCAUUAUUCUCCUUCCAGGACCCAAAUCCCAUUCACCCCCAUUAUUGCAGCCCCACUAUUCCCCUUCCAGGACCCAAAUCCCAUUCACCCCCAUUAUUGCAGCCCCACUAUUCCCCUUCCAGGACCCAAAUCCCAUUCUGUCCCAUUAUACCCUUACAGGAACCCACUAUUCCCCUUCCAGAACCCAAUCCCCAUUCACCUCCACUAUAUCCACCCUCACUAUUCCCCUUCCAGGACCCAAUCCCCAUUCACCCCCACUAUAUCCAUUCUCACUAUUUCCCUUCCAGGACCCAAAUCCCACUCAUCCCCACUAUUCAGGCCACCAUUACUCCCUUAUAGGACCCCAUUAUUCCCCUUCCAGGACCCAAAUCCCAUUCUGUCCCAUUAAUCCCUUCCAGGACCCAACUAUUCCCCUUCCAGGACCCAAAUCCCAUUCACCCCCAUUAUACCCUUACAGGAACCCACUAUUCCCCUUCUAGGACCCAAUCCCCAUUCACCCCCACUAUUCCCCUUCCAGGACCCAAAUCCCAUUCACCCCCAUUAUGCCCAUUAUUCCAUCCCCACUAUUCCCCUUCCAGGACCCAAGCCCCAUUCACUCCCACUAUAUCCACCCUCACUAUUCCCCUUCCAGGACCCAAAUCCCUUUCACCCCCAUUAUCCCCUUACAGGACCUCCAUUAUUCCCCUUCCAGGACCCAAUCCCCAUUCACCCCCACUAUUCCCCUUCCAGGACCCAAAUCCCAUUCACCCCCACUAUAUCCACCCUCACUAUUCCCCUUCCAGGACCCGAUCCCCAUUCACCCCCGUUGUUCCCCCGCUCACCACGGCGCGCCCCCCGCUGUGUGUAAUUCGACAUCCGUCCACACGGAGGCGCUGUGGCGGGGCGCUGCAGAUGACCGUAAUGGAG